rnacentral:rRNA from 1 species
UAGAGUUUGAUCCUGGCUCAGAUUGAACGCUGGCGGCAGGCCUAACACAUGCAAGUCGAGCGGUAGCGGGAAGAGCUUGCUCUUUGCCGACGAGCGGCGGACGGGUGCGUAACACGUAGGAAUCUGCCCGGUAGUGGGGGAUAGCCCGGAGAAAUCCGGAUUAAUACCGCAUACGCACUAGCUCUUUAAGAGCGGUGGAAAGCAGGGGAUCGGUUCGCCGACCUUGCGCUAUCGGAUGAGCCUGCGUCGGAUUAGCUUGUUGGUGGGGUAAAGGCCCACCAAGGCAACGAUCCGUAGCUGGUCUGAGAGGAUGAUCAGCCACACUGGGACUGAGACACGGCCCAGACUCCUACGGGAGG